GCUGGUCUGAGAGGAUGAUCAGCCACACUGGGACUGAGACACGGCACAGACUCCUACGGGAGGCAGCAGUGGGGAAUUUUGGACAAUGGGGGCAACCCUGAUCCAGCCAUGCCGCGUGAGUGAAGAAGGCCUUCGGGUUGUAAAGCUCUUUCGGACGGAACGAAAUGGUUACGGUCAACACCCGUGACUGAUGACGGUACCGUAAGAAGAAGCACCGGCUAACUACGUGCCAGCAGCCGCGGUAAUACGUAGGGUGCGAGCGUUAAUCGGAAUUACUGGGCGUAAAGCGUGCGCAGGCGGUUUCGUAAGCUGGAGGUGAAAUCCCCGGGCUCAACCUGGGAAUGGCCUUCAGGACUGCGAGGCUAGAGUGCGGCAGAGGGAGGUGGAAUUCCACGUGUAGCAGUGAAAUGCGUAGAUAUGUGGAGGAACACCGAUGGCGAAGGCAGCCUCCUGGGCCAGCACUGACGCUCAUGCACGAAAGCGUGGGGAGCAAACAGGAUUAGAUACCCUGGUAGUCCACGCCCUAAACGAUGUCAACUAGGUGUUGGGGAAGGUGACUUCCUUAGUACCGCAGCUAACGCGUGAAGUUGACCGCCUGGGGAGUACGGCCGCAAGGUUAAAACUCAAAGGAAUUGACGGGGACCCGCACGAGCGGUGGAUGAUGUGGAUUAAUUCGAUGCAACGCGAAAAACCUUACCUACCCUUGACAUGCCAGGAACUCUGCUGAGAGGUGGAGGUGCCCGAAAGGGAGCCUGGACACAGGUGCUGCAUGGCUGUCGUCAGCUCGUGUCGUGAGAUGUUGGGUUAAGUCCCGCAACGAGCGCAACCCUUGUCGUUAAUUGCCAUCAUUUAGUUGGGCACUUUAGCGAGACUGCCGGUGACAAACCGGAGGAAGGUGGGGAUGACGUCAAGUCCUCAUGGCCCUUAUGGGUAGGGCUUCACACGUCAUACAAUGGCGCAUACAGAGGGUUGCGAAGCCGCGAGGUGAAGCCAAUCCCAGAAAGUGCGUCGUAGUCCGGAUUGCAGUCUGCAACUCGACUGCAUGAAGUCGGAAUCGCUAGUAAUCGCGGAUCAGCAUGUCGCGGUGAAUACGUUCCCGGGUCUUGUACACACCGCCCGUCACACCAUGGGAGUGGGUUCCACCAGAAGCAGGUAGCCUAACCGCAAGGGGGGCGCCUACCACGGUGAGAUUCAUGACUGGGGUGAAGUCGUAACAAGGUA
rnacentral:rRNA from 1 species